GGUUGUGGCUCAAUGGUAGAGCGCUCGCCUAGCAAGUGCAAGGCCCUGGGUUCUAUCCUUAGCACCA
rnacentral:tRNA from 1 species